rnacentral:piRNA from 1 species
UGCAGAAAAGACGCUGUCUGAAUUGCUAGC